GGGUUUCGGCUCGUAAAACUCUGUUGUUAAAGAAGAACAUAUCUGAGAGUAACUGUUCAGGUAUUGACGGUAUUUAACCAGAAAGCCACGGCUAACUACGUGCCAGCAGCCGCGGUAAUACGUAGGUGGCAAGCGUUGUCCGGAUUUAUUGGGCGUAAAGCGAGCGCAGGCGGUUUUUUAAGUCUGAUGUGAAAGCCUUCGGCUCAACCGAAGAAGUGCAUCGGAAACUGGGAAACUUGAGUGCAGAAGAGGACAGUGGAACUCCAUGUGUAGCGGUGAAAUGCGUAGAUAUAUGGAAGAACACCAGUGGCGAAGGCGGCUGUCUGGUCUGUAACUGACGCUGAGGCUCGAAAGUAUGGGUAGCAAACAGGAUUAGAUACCCUGGUAGUCCAUACCGUAAACGAUGAAUGCUAAGUGUUGGAGGGUUUCCGCCCUUCAGUGCUGCAGCUAACGCAUUAAGCAUUCCGCCUGGGGAGUACGGCCGCAAGGCUGAAACUC
rnacentral:rRNA from 2 species